AUUGAACGCUGGCGGCAGGCCUAACACAUGCAAGUCGAGCGAGCGGCGGACGGGUGAGUAAUGUAUGGGGCUCUGCCCGAUGGAGGGGGAUAACUACUGGAAACGGUAGCUAAUACCGCAUACUAUCAGAUGAACCCAUAUGGGAUUAGCUAGUAGGUGAGGUAAAGGCUCACCUAGGCGACGAUCCCUAGCUGGUCUGAGAGGAUGAUCAGCCACAAUGGAACGGAGACACGGCCCAGACUCCGACGGGAGGCAGCAGUGGGGAAUAUUCAACAAUGGGCGCAAGCCGGAUGCAGCCAUGCCGCGUGUAUGAAGAAGGCCUUAGGGUUGUAAAGUACUUUCAGCAGGGAGGCGUUACCCGCAGAAGAAGCACCGGAUAACUCCGUGCCAGCAGCCGCGGUAAUUC
rnacentral:rRNA from 1 species